rnacentral:rRNA from 1 species
AGAGUUUGAUCAUGGCUCAGGACGAACGCUGGCGGCGUGCCUAACACAUGCAAGUCGAACGGAGAUAUGUUUUGGAAGGGCUUCGGUCUGGAAGAGAUAUAUUUUAGUGGCGGACGGGUGAGUAACGCGUGGGCAAUCUGCCUUGUAGAAAGGGAUAACAGGCCGAAAGGCUUGCUAAUACCGGAUGAGCUUGUCUAAUCGCAUGAUAAGACAAGGAAAGGGGAAACCCUCUACAAGAUGAGCCUGCGU